rnacentral:tRNA from 1 species
AAGGCUUUAAGUUAAGCAAACUAAUAUCCUUCAAAGUUAUAAACAAAGAAAUUAUCUUUAAGUCUUA